GACGAACGCUGGCGGCGCGCCUAACACAUGCAAGUCGAACGAGCGAGAGAGAGCUUGCUUUCUUGAGCGAGUGGCGAACGGGUGAGUAACGCGUGAGGAACCUGCCUCAAAGAGGGGGACAACAGUUGGAAACGACUGCUAAUACCGCAUAAGCCCACGACCCGGCAUCGGGUUGAGGGAAAAGGAGCAAUCCGCUUUGAGAUGGCCUCGCGUCCGAUUAGCUAGUUGGUGAGGUAACGGCCCACCAAGGCGACGAUCGGUAGCCGGACUGAGAGGUUGAACGGCCACAUUGGGACUGAGACACGGCCCAGACUCCUACGGGAGGCAGCAGUGGGGAAUAUUGCACACUGGGGGAAACCCUGAUGCAGCGACGCCGCGUGGAGGAAGAAGGUCUUCGGAUUGUAAACUCCUGUUGUUGAGGAAGAUAAUGACGGUACUCAACAAGGAAGUGACGGCUACCUACGU
rnacentral:rRNA from 1 species